rnacentral:rRNA from 1 species
GGUUAAGCGACUAAGCGUACACGGUGGAUGCCCUGGCAGUCAGAGGCGAUGAAGGACGUGCUAAUCUGCGAUAAGCGUCGGUAAGGUGAUAUGAACCGUUAUAACCGGCGAUUUCCGAAUGGGGAAACCCAGUGUGAUUCGUCACACUAUCAUUAACUGAAUCCAUAGGUUAAUGAGGCGAACCGGGGGAACUGAAACAUCUAAGUACCCCGAGGAAAAGAAAUCAACCGAGAUUCCCCCAGUAGCGGCGAGCGAACGGGGAGCAGCCCAGAGCCUGAAUCAGUGUGUGUGUUAGUGGAAGCGUCUGGAAAGGCGCGCGAUACAGGGUGACAGCCCCGUACACAAAAAUGCACAUACUGUGAGCUCGAUGAGUAGGGCGGGACACGUGGUAUCCUGUCUGAAUAUGGGGGGACCAUCCUCCAAGGCUAAAUACUCCUGACUGACCGAUAGUGAACCAGUACCGUGAGGGAAAGGCGAAAAGAACCCCGGCGAGGGGAGUGAAAAAGAACCUGAAACCGUGUACGUACAAGCAGUGGGAGCACAGAGCAAUCUGUGUGACUGCGUACCUUUUGUAUAAUGGGUCAGCGACUUAUAUUCUGUAGCAAGGUUAACCGAAUAGGGGAGCCGAAGGGAAACCGAGUCUUAACUGGGCGUUAAGUUGCAGGGUAUAGACCCGAAACCCGGUGAUCUAGCCAUGGGCAGGUUGAAGGUUGGGUAACACUAACUGGAGGACCGAACCGACUAAUGUUGAAAAAUUAGCGGAUGACUUGUGGCUGGGGGUGAAAGGCCAAUCAAACCGGGAGAUAGCUGGUUCUCCCCGAAAGCUAUUUAGGUAGCGCCUCGUGAAUUCAUCUCUGGGGGUAGAGCACUGUUUCGGCAAGGGGGUCAUCCCGACUUACCAACCCGAUGCAAACUGCGAAUACCGGAGAAUGUUAUCACGGGAGACACACGGCGGGUGCUAACGUCCGUCGUGAAGAGGGAAACAACCCAGACCGCCAGCUAAGGUCCCAAAGUCAUGGUUAAGUGGGAAACGAUGUGGGAAGGCCCAGACAGCCAGGAUGUUGGCUUAGAAGCAGCCAUCAUUUAAAGAAAGCGUAAUAGCUCACUGGUCGAGUCGGCCUGCGCGGAAGAUGUAACGGGGCUAAACCAUGCACCGAAGCUGCGGCAGCGACGCUGAUGCGUUGUUGGGUAGGGGAGCGUUCUGUAAGCCUGUGAAGGUGUGCUGUGAGGCAUGCUGGAGGUAUCAGAAGUGCGAAUGCUGACAUAAGUAACGAUAAAGCGGGUGAAAAGCCCGCUCGCCGGAAGACCAAGGGUUCCUGUCCAACGUUAAUCGGGGCAGGGUGAGUCGACCCCUAAGGCGAGGCCGAAAGGCGUAGUCGAUGGGAAACAGGUUAAUAUUCCUGUACUUGGUGUUACUGCGAAGGGGGGACGGAGAAGGCUAUGUUGGCCGGGCGACGGUUGUCCCGGUUUAAGCGUGUAGGCUGGUUUUCCAGGCAAAUCCGGAAAAUCAAGGCUGAGGCGUGAUGACGAGGCACUACGGUGCUGAAGCAACAAAUGCCCUGCUUCCAGGAAAAGCCUCUAAGCAUCAGGUAACAUCAAAUCGUACCCCAAACCGACACAGGUGGUCAGGUAGAGAAUACCAAGGCGCUUGAGAGAACUCGGGUGAAGGAACUAGGCAAAAUGGUGCCGUAACUUCGGGAGAAGGCACGCUGAUAUGUAGGUGAAGUCCCUCGCGGAUGGAGCUGAAAUCAGUCGAAGAUACCAGCUGGCUGCAACUGUUUAUUAAAAACACAGCACUGUGCAAACACGAAAGUGGACGUAUACGGUGUGACGCCUGCCCGGUGCCGGAAGGUUAAUUGAUGGGGUCAGCGCAAGCGAAGCUCUUGAUCGAAGCCCCGGUAAACGGCGGUCGUAACUAUAACGGUCCUAAGGUAGCGAAAUUCCUUGUCGGGUAAGUUCCGACCUGCACGAAUGGCGUAAUGAUGGCCAGGCUGUCUCCACCCGAGACUCAGUGAAAUUGAACUCGCUGUGAAGAUGCAGUGUACCCGCGGCAAGACGGAAAGACCCCGUGAACCUUUACUAUAGCUUGACACUGAACAUUGAGCCUUGAUGUGUAGGAUAGGUGGGAGGCUUAGAAGUGUGGACGCCAGUCUGCAUGGAGCCGACCUUGAAAUACCACCCUUUAAUGUUUGAUGUUCUAACGUUGACCCGUAAUCCGGGUUGCGGACAGUGUCUGGUGGGUAGUUUGACUGGGGCGGUCUCCUCCUAAAGAGUAACGGAGGAGCACGAAGGUUGGCUAAUCCUGGUCGGACAUCAGGAGGUUAGUGCAAUGGCAUAAGCCAGCUUGACUGCGAGCGUGACGGCGCGAGCAGGUGCGAAAGCAGGUCAUAGUGAUCCGGUGGUUCUGAAUGGAAGGGCCAUCGCUCAACGGAUAAAAGGUACUCCGGGGAUAACAGGCUGAUACCGCCCAAGAGUUCAUAUCGACGGCGGUGUUUGGCACCUCGAUGUCGGCUCAUCACAUCCUGGGGCUGAAGUAGGUCCCAAGGGUAUGGCUGUUCGCCAUUUAAAGUGGUACGCGAGCUGGGUUUAGAACGUCGUGAGACAGUUCGGUCCCUAUCUGCCGUGGGCGCUGGAGAACUGAGGGGGGCUGCUCCUAGUACGAGAGGACCGGAGUGGACGCAUCACUGGUGUUCGGGUUGUCAUGCCAAUGGCACUGCCCGGUAGCUAAAUGCGGAAGAGAUAAGUGCUGAAAGCAUCUAAGCACGAAACUUGCCCCGAGAUGAGUUCUCCCUGACCCUUUAAGGGUCCUGAAGGAACGUUGAAGACGACGACGUUGAUAGGCCGGGUGUGUAAGCGCAGCGAUGCGUUGAGCUAACCGGUACUAAUGAACCGUGAGGCUUAACCUU